rnacentral:rRNA from 1 species
UACGAAGGGGGCUAGCGUUGCUCGGAAUCACUGGGCGUAAAGCGCACGUAGGCGGAUUGUUAAGUCAGGGGUGAAAUCCUGGAGCUCAACUCCAGAACUGCCUUUGAUACUGGCGAUCUUGAGUCCGGGAGAGGUGAGUGGAACUGCGAGUGUAGAGGUGAAAAUUCGUAGAUAUUCGCAAGAACACCAGUGGCGAAGGCGGCUCACUGGCCCGGUACUGACGCUGAGGUGCGAAAGCGUGGGGAGCAAACAGGG